UGGGGAAUUUUGGACAAUGGGCGCAAGCCUGAUNCAGCCAUGCCGCGUGAGUGAAGAAGGCCUUCGGGUUGUAAAGCUCUUUCAGACGGAAAGAAAUCUCUUGGGCGAAUACCCUGGGAGGAUGACGGUACCGUAAGAAGAAGCACCGGCUAACUACGUGCCAGCAGCCGCGGUAAUACGUAGGGUGCGAGCGUUAAUCGGAAUUACUGGGCGUAAAGCGUGCGCAGGCGGUGAUGUAAGACAGAUGUGAAAUCCCCGGGCUCAACCUGGGAACUGCGUUUGUGACUGCAUGGCUAGAGUACGGUAGAGGGGGAUGGAAUUCCGCGUGUAGCAGUGAAAUGCGUAGAUAUGCGGAGGAACACCGAUGGCGAAGGCAAUCCCCUGGACCUGUACUGACGCUCAUGCACGAAAGCGUGGGGAGCAAACAGGAUUAGAUACCCUGGUAGUCCACGCCCUAAACGAUGUCAACUGGUUGUUGGGAGGGUUUCUUCUCAGUAACGAAGCUAACGCGUGAAGUUGACCGCCUGGGGAGUACGGCCGCAAGGUUG
rnacentral:rRNA from 1 species